ACGAACGCUGGCGGCAGGCCUAACACAUGCAAGUCGAACGCUCCGGCAAUGGAGAGUGGCAGACGGGUGAGUAACGCGUGGGAACCUUCCCAGUGGUACGGAAUAGCCCAGGGAAACUUGGGGUAAUACCGUAUAAGCCCCUAGGGGGAAAGAUUUAUCGCCAUUGGAUGGGCCCGCGUCGGAUUAGCUAGUUGGUGAGGUAACGGCUCACCAAGGCGACGAUCCGUAGCUGGUCUGAGAGGAUGAUCAGCCACACUGGGACUGAGACACGGCCCAGACUCCUACGGGAGGCAGCAGUGGGGAAUAUUGGACAAUGGGCGAAAGCCUGAUCCAGCCAUGCCGCGUGAGUGACGAAGGCCUUAGGGUUGUAAAGCUCUUUUGGCGGGGACGAUAAUGACGGUACCCGCAGAAUAAGCUCCGGCUAACUUCGU
rnacentral:rRNA from 1 species